rnacentral:rRNA from 1 species
AUGGGGAAGAAGCAGAGCAGCGGCGGCGUGGAGAAGGUGGCGGCGAGGGAGUUCUCGCUGAAGGUGGCCAUGCACUGCAAGUGCCACGGGUGCACGGACAGGCUGCGCGCGGCGGUGCGGGACCUCACGCUGGCGCCCGGGGUGGAGGCGGUGGACCAGACCGCGGCCGAGGCCACCGGCGAGGUGCGCGUGCUGGCCACGGCCGACCCCGAGCGGCUCCGCAAGGCCCUCCGCAAGGCCACGGGCAAGAAGGUCGACCUUGUCUUCCCGCCUGCCAAGGAGCGCAAGAAGGCGGACGUCGACGCCGCCGCGGUCCAGGCCCUGCUCGCCGACCUGCAGCUGCACCACCAGUACGGGGGCCAGGCGGCGGCGCGUCAGUACGGCGGGCAGGGCGCGUGGGCGGCGAGCCAGCAGCACCAGCAGCAGCUGCUCGGCCUCGGCGGCGGGUGGAACGGCGGCGCCGGGGCCGGGGGCUACGGCGCGGCGUACCCGUGGCAGCCCUCCUCUGCGGCCUCCUACUACCCGGCUGCGCCCGCCGCUGGUGCUGGUUGGGGCGCGUACGGCGGCUACGGGUACGCUCCUCAGGCGCAGGCUCCGGCCAAGGGCCACGGCGGCUACUACGGCGCGAGCUCGCCGGCGUGGCACGGCCAGGGCUACUGA